rnacentral:rRNA from 1 species
GAUGAACGCUGGCGGCGUGCCUAAUACAUGCAAGUAGAACGCUGAAGGAGGAGCUUGCUCUUCUGGAUGAGUUGCGAACGGGUGAGUAACGCGUAGGUAACCUGCCUGGUAGCGGGGGAUAACUAUUGGAAACGAUAGCUAAUACCGCAUGACAACAGUUAUUGCAUGAUAACUGUUUAAAAGGGGCAACUGCUCCACUACCAGAUGGACCUGCGUUGUAUUAGCUAGUUGGUGAGGUAACGGCUCACCAAGGCGACGAUACAUAGCCGACCUGAGAGGGGGAUCGGCCACACUGGGACUGGGACACGGCCCAGACUCCUACGGGAGGCAGCAGUAGGGAAUCUUCGGCAAUGGACGGAAGUCUGACCGAGCAACGCCGCGGGAGUGAAGAAGGGUUUCGGAUCGUAAAGCUCUGUUGUAAGAGAAGAACGAGUGUGAGAGUGGAAAGUUCACACUGUGACGGUAUCUUACCAGAAAGGGACGGCUAACUACGUG